AGCAAAUAUGGCAAGCAAUAUCAGUACUUCUCACUUAUUUGUUUGUUUCUUUCUCUUCACUAUUGCUCUCCUUUUUACUCCACUGGUAGCUCUUGUUGAGAGAAAUCUAAACAGUAAUUUAAAUAUGACGAAAUCUUUUCGUCCUCGCUUCAAUCCGUGCCUAAACCGUCCCGGUCAUCCCGGUUCAUCAGCAAAGAACAAAUGUCGGUGACAAUCGGGAAUGACCACUUUAGAAGAUAGCAUAUGAUCCCUAGAGGCAUGCAAAUAACAGAUCAUAUGCCUCAACAAAAAA